rnacentral:rRNA from 1 species
UAUACGACCGUACCGCAAACCGACACUGGUGCGCGAGAUGAGUAUUCUAAGGCGCUUGAGAGAACUCAGGAGAAGGAACUCGGCAAAUUGACACCGUAACUUCGGAAGAAGGUGUGCCCUAUUAGUGUGUAGUGAACAACGAAGCAUGAAUGGGUUGCAAAAAAUCGGUGGCUGCGACUGUUUAUUAAAAACACAGCACUCUGCAAACACGAAAGUGGACGUAUAGGGUGUGACGCCUGCCCGGUGCUGGAAGAUUAAAUGAUGGGGUGCAAGCUCUUGAUUGAAGUCCCAGUAAACGGCGGCCGUAACUAUAACGGUCCUAAGGUAGCGAAAUUCCUUGUCGGGUAAGUUCCGACCUGCACGAAUGGCGUAACGAUGGCCACACUGUCUCCUCCUGAGACUCAGCGAAGUUGAAAUGUUUGUGAUGAUGCAAUCUCCCCGCGGAAAGACGGAAAGACCCCAUGAACCUUUACUGUAGCUUUGUAUUGGACUUUGAACAGAUCUGUGUAGGAUAGGUGGGAGGCUUUGAAGCAGGGUCGCUAGAUCUUGUGGAGCCAACGUUGAAAUACCACCCUGGUGUGUUUGAGGUUCUAACCUAGGUCCAUUAUCUGGAUCGGGGACAGUGCAUGGUAGGCAGUUUGACUGGGGCGGUCUCCUCCCAAAGCGUAACGGAGGAGUUCGAAGGUACGCUAGUUACGGUCGGACAUCGUGACGAUAGUGCAAUGGCAUAAGCGUGCUUAACUGCGAGACUGACAAGUCGAGCAGAUGCGAAAGCAGCACAUAGUGAUCCGGUGGUUCUGUAUGGAAGGGCCAUCGCUCAACGGAUAAAAGGUACUCUGGGGAUAACAGGCUGAUACCGCCCAAGAGUUCAUAUCGACGGCGGUGUUUGGCACCUCGAUGUCGGCUCAUCUCAUCCUGGGGCUGCAGCCGGUCCCAAGGGUAUGGCUGUUCGCCAUUUAAAGAGGUACGUGAGCUGGGUUUAAAACGUCGUGAGACAGUUUGGUCCCUAUCUUCCGUGGGCGCUGCAGAUUUGAGGAAGCCUGCUCCUAGUACGAGAGGACCGGAGUGGACACACCUCUGGUGUAUCGGUUGUCACGCCAGUGGCAUUGCCGAGUAGCUAAGUGUGGAAGAGAUAACCGCUGAAAGCAUCUAAGCGGGAAACUCGUUUCAAGAUGAGAUCUGCCGGGGCCUUGAGCCCCCUAAAGAGUCGUUCAAGACCAGGACGUUGAUAGGUCAGGUGUGGAAGCG